AUUGAACGCUAGCGGGAUGCUUUACACAUGCAAGUCGAACGAGUGGCGGACGGGUGAGUAAUAUAUCGGCACGUGCCCAGUAGAGGGGGAUAACUACUCGAAAGAGUGGCUAAUACCGCAUACGAUUGGAGCGGCCGAUAUCGGAUUAGCUAGUUGGUGGGGUAAAGGCUCACCAAGGCAACGAUCCGUAGCUGGUUUGAGAGGACGACCAGCCACACUGUGACUGAGACACGGUCCAGACUCCUACGGGAGGCAGCAGUGGGGAAUUUUGUACAAGGGGGGAAACCCUGAUGCAGCCAUCCCGCGUGUAUGAGAAGGCCUUCGGGUUGUAAAGUACUUUUGGCGGAGAAGCGGUAUCUGCAGAAUAAGCACCGGCUAACUCCGUGCCAGCAGCCGCGGUAAUUC
rnacentral:rRNA from 1 species